rnacentral:misc_RNA from 1 species
AUUUGGUCAAAUGGAAGGACGGGAGUAAUAAUGAGUGGAUGAAAGCCCAGUUUAUCGGCGAGGAUUUAGUGAAGGAUUUUGAGGGAGGACUAGAGUAUGCUGUGGCGGGGGGGGGGGUGGGGGAGNNNNNNNNNNGAUGGGAAGAAUGAGUAUCUUGUAAAGUGGACGGAUAUUGAUGAGGCCACGUGGGAGCCGGAAGAGAAUGUAGAUCCCGAUUUGAUCAAGGAGUAUGCUGAGGCCCA